rnacentral:rRNA from 1 species
UGGGGAAUCUUCCGCAAUGGACGAAAGUCUGACGGAGCAACGCCGCGUGAGUGAAGAAGGUUUUCGGAUCGUAAAACUCUGUCUUUUGGGGCGAACGUGAGUAUGGUGAACAAUCAUAGUCAGUGACGGUACCAAAGGAGGAAGCCACGGCUAACUACGUGCCAGCAGCCGCGGUAAUACGUAGGUGGCAAGCGUUGUCCGGAAUUAUUGGGCGUAAAGAGCGCGUAGGCGGGAUAGUCAGUCUGUUGUAAAGUGCGGGGCUCAACCCCGUGAUCGCAAUGGAAACAGCUAUUCUUGAGUGCAGGAGAGGAAAGUGGAAUUCCCAGUGUAGCGGUGAAAUGCGUAGAUAUUGGGAGGAACACCAGUGGCGAAGGCGACUUUCUGGACUGUGUCUGACGCUGAGGCGCGAAAGCCAGGGGAGCGAACGGGAUUAGAUACCCCGGUAGUCCUGGCCGUAAACGAUGGGUACUAGGUGUGGGAGGUAUCGACCCCUUCCGUGCCGGAGUUAACGCAAUAAGUACCCCGCCUGGGGAGUACGGUCGCAAGACUGAAACUCAAAGGAAUUGACGGGUCAUAGCUGUUU